AUGCAGGCUGCUAAUGGAAUUCUGGAAAGUCCAACUGGAACAGGAAAGACCUUAUCUCUUCUUUGUUCUUCACUGGCAUGGUUGGAAAAUCACAAGGCUCUCCAGCAGGCUAUGGUUCUUCAAGGCUCAGUAACAGACUCCCAAAAAAACUUUACAUCACAGUUGUGGGAUCAACUGGAGCUUGCUGUUGGUGAAAGAAAACAACAAACUACUAUUUUUUCUGUUCCUCGAAUAAUCUACAGUUCUAGAACGCACACUCAACUAUCUCAAGCUGUCCAAGAACUGAAGAAAACUAAUUACAAACAUAUGCGUGCUGUGGUACUGGGCUCUAGAGACCAACUCUGUCUCCAUCCUGAGGUGUCAAAGCUACAAAAUAAUGCUGCAAAACUUCACGCAUGUCGAGCUAAAGUAAACACUCGUGCCUGUCCAUUUUAUCUUAAUGUGGAACAAAAAAUUUUGGGAGAAAAAGAUUAUCAAACAAAUUCUGUGAUAGACAUCGAAGAUUUAGUCAAAUUGGGAAAAAAGCAUACCUGUUGCCCUUAUUAUGCAGCUAGGAGUUUGAAAAGUAAAACAGAUAUUAUCUUUACACCUUACAACUACCUCAUUGACCCAAAAUCCAGAAAAGCACAUGGAAUUGAACUGCAGGGAAAUGUAUUGAUAUUUGAUGAAGCACACAAUAUUGAAAGUGUUUGUGAAGAGAGUAUGUCAUUCCAGCUGAAGUCUGCAGACAUUGCCCUUUGUAUUAGUGAGGUAUCCCAAGUUAUAGACAAAAUGAAAGACAUAAAUAAUCUGGAUUUUUCUCAAGACUCGGGAGCACCAGAUUUCACACUUGCUGACCUCUCCAUUCUUAAAGUUAUGUUCUGUGAACUGGAGGAGGAGUUGGACAGCAUAGUUGCUACAGAAGGAGUAGCUGGCUGUACAAAGCCUGGAGACUUUAUGCUAGAGGUGCUUGCUAAAGUUGACUUAACGGCUCAGAAAAAAGAUAUUGUCCUAGAUCUACUGGACAAAGUGAUACUGUUUUUAACAGUUAACAAUACAAGUCCAUGGAUGACUAAAGGUGCUGGUCUCCAGAAAUUUUCUGAUAUGCUUAGGAUACUUUUUUCCAAGGCCUCUUUAGGAGCAACAAGUAACAACAUUAUAAAAAAAGAAUUUUCAAGAAUGUAUAAGAUUUUCUUACAGCAAGAGACUCUGAAGACUCAACAGAAACAAAUAGAUGUUUGGACUGUUGCUACAAAAACAAAUAAAAAACAAGGGUGGAUAUUGAACUGUUGGUGUUUUUCUCCUGGUCUUGGUAUGCAAGAUAUAGUUGAUCAGGGUAUACACAGCAUGAUUUUGACGAGUGGGACAUUAUCACCAUUGAAUUCUUUUGCUGCUGAGUUAGGCCAACCAUUUCCAAUCCAGCUAGAGAAUCCUCACAUUAUCAAUGAUGACCAAGUAUACAUUGGAGUUGUGUCACAAGGUCCUGAUGGCACCCCUUUAAACUCUUCAUUUAGGAACAGGUCAGAUAAAAAAUACCUCCAGUCUCUUGGUCGAACAAUAUUAAACUUCAGCAGAAUUAUACCAGAUGGCUUACUUGUCUUCUUUCCCUCAUAUUCAGUACUGAAACAGUGUAAUGAGCAUUGGGAAGAGUCGGGACUCUGGCAAAGCAUGUGUGCUGUCAAACCAAUAUUUAUUGAGCCUCAGGGUAAAGAUGCCUUUCAAGAAAGUAUUGAACAGUUUUACAAUAAAAUCUAUGCUCCAGAGUCCAGAGGUGCUUCAUUUUUUGCAGUGUGUCGAGGAAAGGUGAGUGAAGGAUUGGACUUCUCAGAUCGUAAUGCUCGAGCAGUGAUAAUUACAGGUCUUCCGUUUCCUCCAUUCUUGGAUCCAAGAGUGAAAUUAAAAAUGUCAUACUUGGAUCAAGGACCAAAGAACAAGGGUUUAUCUGGUAAUGAAUGGUACAUGCAGCAAGCUUCAAGAGCUGUCAAUCAAGCUGUGGGCAGAGUUAUACGUCAUAGGAAGGAUUAUGGUGCUGUAUUAUUGUGUGAUAAUCGGUUUGCAGAAAAACGAAUUAACUCCCAGCUUUCUCUUUGGGUGCGUGAUCGAGUGAAAAGUUACACAACCUUUGGUCCAGCUUUAAGAGAUUUAUCAAAGUUUUUUAAAAACAUGGAUAUUACAGGAUUACACAAAACCCAAGUGGGAAUAUCAAAAGAAUCAAGUGAUAAUUGUGUACAACCAGUCAAUAAUGUAGUUGAUUCAUCUUUUAAUCCAAUCCAAGAUAUAGCCAGAAAUAAAUUUUCUCAGUCUAUAGCCAGGAAUGAAACCAAAAGUCAUGAAGACGAGAAUCCUUUUCAAGGAUAUUUAUUACCAUUGAAACCAAAUGAUCAAGCAGUUCAUCAGACAACUGGUAAAAGGAAAAGUGUAUUUGAUGCUUUAGAAGAAUGUGAUGCCAAGAAUUUUAAAGACACUCAAAGUGUAAUCUCAUUUUCUUCUCUUGAUACGGGUGUGAAGAAUACAAAUCAGCUGAGUGCUUCAGAGUCAAAAGAUACAAAGAAGAAUUGCAAAAGAAGAAAGAUCAAUAUGCAAUUACAAGGUAUUGAUGGUGAACCAAACUGUAAACCACACACUUCCGUAGGCGCUAACCCAUUGAAAGUAGAAAACUCUCGAGAAAUUUGGAAAAAACAUCUAAUCAAGAUAAAACUUUUGCUUGGGAAAACUCCAGACUAUGCCAAGUUCUGUAGUGCUAUUAAGGAGUAUAAAAGUGUAAGAGAUGUGAAACAGUUUGCUUCUGUCAUGAAACAAGUAUUUAGCAACGUUGCUGAAGGGAAGAAAUUCAUUGAAAUUACAUCCCAGAUUGUUUCAGCUAAUGAAAGAAUUGAGUUUCUGAAAUUGUGUGAAUCAAAGAUGGAAAAAGCUUUACUUAUUGAAAAUGAGGAAAGUCAUAGAUCUGAAGCAGAUAUAUCUGAAGGUUCAAAUGUCUCAACACCAUACAGUCAACCUGAUAAGAACACACUUGCUGCUGGUGUAAAGGAAAAGCCAGAGUUCCUGUAAGAACAUCCUGUGGGAAUGUUUACUGUUGCUUAUGUUUAAAGCAGCUUGCAAAAGACAAAUCGAAUUGUGUUUUGUGCCAGAAACUCCUGAAGAAACACAAGUCUGAUAGACUGUACUUCAGUUCAGCACCUAUUUCCAAGAAAGUGGAGUUGCAUUCUUAACAUUGAUUUAUUAA
rnacentral:misc_RNA from 1 species